rnacentral:rRNA from 1 species
UACAGAGGGUGCGAGCGUUAAUCGGAAUUACUGGGCGUAAAGCGUGCGUAGACGGUCAUGUAAGUCGGGUGUGAAAGCCCCGGGCUCAACCUGGGAAUUGCAUUCGAGACUGAAUAGCUAGGGUACGGUAGAGGGAAGUGGAAUUUCCGGUGUAGCGGUGAAAUGCGUAGAUAUCGGAAGGAACAUCAGUGGCGAAAGCGGCUUCCUGGACACCAACUGACGCUGAGACGCGAAAGCGUGGGGAGCAAACAGGG